ensembl:lncRNA
GUCCCCUUGCUGUCCCCAUGUCCCACAUUGUCCCCAUUCUGUCCCCAUGUCCCCAUGUUGUCCCCAUGUCCCUUGCUGUCCCCAUGUCCCCAUGUUGUCCCCAUGUCCCUACAAUGUCCCCAUGUCCCUUGCUGUCCGCAUUCUGUCCCCUUGCUGUCCCCAUGUCCCACAUUGUCCCCAUUCUGUCCCCAUGUCCCCAUGUUGUCCCCACAUCCCUUGCUGUCCCCAUGCCAUUCUGUUCCCAUGUUGUCCCCAUGUUGUCCCCAUGUCCCCAUUCUGUCCCCACGUCCCACACUGUCCCCAUUCUGUCCCCAUGUCCCCAUUCUGUCCCCAUGUCCCUUGCUGUCCCCACGUCCCCAUGUCGUCCCCAUGUCCCACAGUGUCCCCAUGUUGUCCCCACGUUGUCCCCACGUUGUCCCCAUGUCCCCACAGCUCCCACAACCUGACCCCAUGGCGUCUCCUCCCACGUCUCCUCCUCCUCCUCCAACGUUCUGCCGACACGGGCGAGGUGCCCCCUCAGGUGACACCGGGUGACGCCGCGGUGACAUCAUGGCGGUGGCAUCGCGGUGACAUCGUCACGGCCACCCCCGGGUGCCACCAACCCCCCCCACGUCCCCCAGGUCGUUGUCCCCGCCAUCUCUCACAGCUCCGCGCCGGCGCCGCCACCGAGGAGGAGCUGCAGUCCCUGCAGGGCACCACGAGCUCCUUCUGUGCGCUGUGCCAGAGCGCGCUGAGCGACGGCGACGGAGCUGUGAGGGAGGAGGUGGGGAGGGGGGCAGCGGGGGGCAGCAGUGACGGGGGUGGCAUCACUGGGUGACGUUGGGUGGGGUGACUUGGGUGACGUUGGGUGACAUUGGAUUGGGUGACAUUGGGUGACUUGGGUGACACUGAGCGACGGUGAGUGACGUUGGAUGACGUUGGGUUGGGUGACACUGGGUGACGUUGGUGACAUUGGGUUGGGUGACGUUGGUGGCGUUGGGUUGGGUGACAUUGGGUGACGUUGGGUGACAUUGGAUUGGGUGACAUUGGGUGAUGUUGGUGACACUAAGUUGGGUGACAUUGGCGCUGGGUGGCACUGGGUGACAUUGAGUGACACCGAGUGACGUUGGUGACAUUGAGUGACAUUGGGUUGGGUGACGUUGGUGGCGUUGGGUGACAUUGGGUUGGGUGAUGUUGGUGGCAUUGGGUUGGGUGGCAUUGGGUGACACUGGGUGACCCUGUGGGCCAUCUCCUGCUGUCACCAUGGUGUUCCCUUGUCCCCACAUUCCCCUGUCCCCACAAGUGUCCCCAUAGUGUCCCCAUGUCCCUUUGUCCCCCACCCCCAAUGUCCCCACGUCCCCUUGGUGUGGUCAGUGGGGUCAGUGGGGUGAUUGGGGUGAUUGGGGUCAUUGGGUUGGCAAUGGGGUCUUUGGGGUCAGUUGGGGUGAUUGGGUUGAUUGGGGUCAUUGGGGUGAUUGGGGUGGCAGUGGGGUGAUUGGGGUCAGUGGGGUCAGCGGGGUCAGUGGGGUAUCGGGGUCGCCAUGCAGUUCUAUGGGGACUUUGGGGACAUCGUGAAGGCGGUGCUGGUGGCGGCGCGGAGGAUGGACAGAACGGAGUGGGCCAGAACCGUGCUGCUGAGCCUGCAGCAGGUCGGCCCCACAGCGGCCCUAUAGCACGGCCCUAUAGCACGGCCCUAUAACCACCGCCCUCUUACACGGCCCUAUAAUGGCCUUAUAACAUGGCCCUGUAACACGGCCCUAUAACCGCAGCCCUAUAACGCGGCCCUACAAUGGGCCUAUAACACGGCCCUAUAGCAUGGCCCUAUACCCACAGCCAUA